rnacentral:rRNA from 1 species
AUUGAACGCUGGCGGCAUGCCUUACACAUGCAAGUCGAACGGCAGCACGGGAGCAAUCCUGGUGGCGAGUGGCGAACGGGUGAGUAAUACAUCGGAACGUGCCCAAUCGUGGGGGAUAACGCAGCGAAAGCUGUGCUAAUACCGCAUACGAUCUACGGAUGAAAGCAGGGGAUCGCAAGACCUUGCGCGAAUGGAGCGGCCGAUGGCAGAUUAGGUAGUUGGUGAGGUAAAGGCUCACCAAGCCGUCGAUCUGUAGCUGGUCUGAGAGGACGACCAGCCACACUGGGACUGAGACACGGCCCAGACUCCUACGGGAGGCAGCAGUGGGGAAUUUUGGACAAUGGGCGAAAGCCUGAUCCAGCCAUGCCGCGUGCAGGAUGAAGGCCUUCGGGUUGUAAACUGCUUUUGUACGGAACGAAACGGCCUUUUCUAAUAAAGAGGGCUAAUGACGGUACCGUAAGAAUAAGCACCGGCUAACUACGUGCCAGCAGCCGCGGUAAUACGUAGGGUGCAAGCGUUAAUCGGAAUUACUGGGCGUAAAGCGUGCGCAGGCGGUUAUGUAAGACAGUUGUGAAAUCCCCGGGCUCAACCUGGGAACUGCAUCUGUGACUGCAUAGCUAGAGUACGGUAGAGGGGGAUGGAAUUCCGCGUGUAGCAGUGAAAUGCGUAGAUAUGCGGAGGAACACCGAUGGCGAAGGCAAUCCCCUGGACCUGUACUGACGCUCAUGCACGAAAGCGUGGGGAGCAACAGG